AGCGAACGCUGGCGGCAGGCCUAACACAUGCAAGUCGAACGAACCUUUCGGGGUUAGUGGCGGACGGGUGAGUAACACGUGGGAACAUGCCUUUAGGUUCGGAAUAACUCAGGGAAACUUGUGCUAAUACCGAAUGUGCCCUUCGGGGGAAAGAUUAAUCGCCUUUAGAGCGGCCCGCGUCUGAUUAGCUAGUUGGUUGAGGUAAUGGCUCACCAAGGCGACGAUCAGUAGCUGGUCUGAGAGGAUGAUCAGCCACAUUGGGACUGAGACACGGCCCAAACUCCUACGGGAGGCAGCAGUGGGGAAUCUUGCGCAAUGGGCGAAAGCCUGACGCAGCCAUGCCGCGUGAAUGAUGAAGGUCUUAGGAUUGUAAAAUUCUUUCACCGGGGACGAUAAUGACGGUACCCGGAGAAGAAGCCCCGGCUAACUUCGUG
rnacentral:rRNA from 1 species